rnacentral:rRNA from 1 species
UAGUCAUAUGCUUGUCCCAAAGAUUAAGCCAUGCAUGUCUAAGUAUAAACCUUUAUACGGUGAAACUGCGAAUGGCUCAUUAAAUCAGUUAUAAUUUAUUUGAUGGUCUCUUUACUACUUGGAUAACCGUGGUAAUUCUAGAGCUAAUACAUGCAAAAAGGCCCGGAAGGGCUGUAUUUAUUAGAUAAGAAACCAAUGCUUUUGGUGAUUCAUAAUAACUUUGCGGAUCGUAUGGCCUUGUGCCGACGACGCUUCAUUCAAAUUUCUGCCCUAUCAA